ensembl:lncRNA
AUGCUAAAGCCCCACCUAAAAUAGGCCUAGCGACAUCCCUGGUAGCUGGUACCAGAUACCUAUUUUUGUACCUGCUUCGUCGAGGUUCCAAGCGAGCUGAGGCGAUACCCAAAUGUGCCGUGAAAACACGGAAGACUUCGGAUUGGACUCAAAGCGUGCAGCAAAGCAAAACAAGCUUUUCUGUUGUUAGCCGUCCAGUGUCAGAAAAUUGUUUUAUGAGAUGAGAACAGCAUGUCUUUGCCAGUCUGUCCCAGGAGUCCUUGCAUUGAGAUUGAUUAAUUCAGUGCCAGUGCAUAGGACCCGACUCAUAAUUUAAGUGUUCGUAUUUUCACAAAACUCCAAUAGUUUGGACCUAUUCACUGGCAUUGAAAUCAACUCGUUAACCCCAUGAGAAACACACAGACACUCUGUUUUUGAGCCUACAAAAGGACCUCGUCUUUUUCCUCUGGGAUUUUCUAAAGGCUGUCUGGCAUACAUUGCACUGGUCAAAGUAGCAAUGUCAAGCCAAACAGAAGCAGCCUACAAAGCUUUCUAAUUAUUUUUGCAGUCUGCAAUGUAUUAAGACCAAAGUUACUGCUCAGACGUGCUUCCUCGCUACUACCAGCAUAAACGCUGCCUUGUGUACAGUAGGCUACUGAGUCAGUCAGCAAUUAUUUAUACCUUUUAAUCGGGUUUUAGAGGUUGUGUAGGUUAUUUUACAUGUGUUUGUGUUGAGUUGUUAGGUGUAUACACUUAAAUCUAACAGAACAUUGCAGUUACGUCAUCUUUAAUUUAUAUUAUACCUUUUCACUGUUUUUCAAACAGGGUCUGUGACCAUGUCAUCCAGAUUUAGUUUACUUUUCAUUUGCCACUUUAUGUUCAAAGCUUGUCAAUUUAAAAGAAAAUGUAUGUUAAUUCAGUGGAUUUGUCUGUUCACAGCAGGGUUCAUGUUAGUUGGCAAAUGCUGGCUUUUGGCUGGUAUCAGGUAUACGAUAUCUCCAUUGUUGUUCUCGUGUGUGUCGCGUUGGAGGUGGCGUCACAACAGUUUUCCUGUGAUGUCAUUAUGGGCGGGUACAGGGUACAAUCUGCAGUGGAGAACCAACCAAGGCGCGGCGUGUAGAGCCGAGUCAAGCUGGUCUUAUGUGGUGGAAAAGCUCCCAAAGCGAGUAGAGUUGAGGUGAGGCGAGUUGAGCCGAGUCGAGCUGGCCUUAUGUGGUGGAAAAGCUCCCAAAGCGAGUAGAGUCGAGGUGAGGCGAGUUGAGCCGAGUCGAGCUGGCCUUAUGUGGUUGAAAAGCUCCCAAAGCGAGUAGAGUCGAGGUGAGGCGAGUUGAGCCGACACCUUUAUUAAAUCAAUUCUGGUGCCGAUAUUAUGUUCUGCUCUGUCUUAAGAGGGAUCAUGGUUGAAAAAA